AUUGAACGCUGGCGGCAUGCUUUACACAUGCAAGUCGAACGGUAACAGGCCUUCGGGUGCUGACGAGUGGCGAACGGGUGAGUAAUGCAUCGGAACGUACCCAGAGGUGGGGGAUAACGCAGCGAAAGCUGUGCUAAUACUGCAUGUGAUCUGAGGAUGAAAGCGGGGGACCGAGCAGCAAUGUUUGGCCUCGCGCCUUUGGAGCGGCCGAUGUCGGAUUAGCUAGUUGGUGGGGUAAAGGCCUACCAAGGCGACGAUCCGUAGCUGGUCUGAGAGGACGACCAGCCAACCUGGGACUGAGACACGGCCCAGAGUCCUACGGGAGGCAGCAGUGGGGAAUUUUGGACAAUGGGCGCAAGCCUGAUCCAGCAAUGCCGCGUGCGGGAAGAAGGCCUUCGGGUUGUAAACCGCUUUUGGCAGGAACGAAACGGUGUCCGCUAAUACCGGGCGCUAAUGACGGUACCUGCAGAAUAAGCACCGGCUAACUACGUG
rnacentral:rRNA from 1 species